AGUGAACGCUGGCGGUAGGCCUAACACAUGCAAGUCGAACGGCAGCACAGGAGAGCUUGCUCUCUGGGUGGCGAGUGGCGGACGGGUGAGGAAUACAUCGGAAUCUACUCUUUCGUGGGGGAUAACGUAGGGAAGCUUACGCUAAUACCGCAUACGACCUACGGGUGAAAGCAGGGGACCUUCGGGCCUUGCGCGAUUGAAUGAGCCGAUGUCGGAUUAGCUAGUUGGCGGGGUAAAGGCCCACCAAGGCGACGAUCCGUAGCUGGUCUGAGAGGAUGAUCAGCCACACUGGAACUGAGACACGGUCCAGACUCCUACGGGAGGCAGCAGUGGGGAAUAUUGGACAAUGGGCGCAAGCCUGAUCCAGCCAUACCGCGUGGGUGAAGAAGGCCUUCGGGUUGUAAAGCCCUUUUGUUGGGAAAGAAAUCCAGCUGGCUAAUACCCGGUUGGGAUGACGGUACCCAAAGAAUAAGCACCGGCUAACUUCGUGCCAGCCGCCGCAGUAA
rnacentral:rRNA from 1 species